rnacentral:rRNA from 1 species
UGGGGGAUUUUCCGCAAUGGGCGAAAGCCUGACGGAGCAAUACCGCGUGAGGGAGGAAGGCUUUUGGGUUGUAAACCUCUUUUCUCAAGGAGGAAGAUCUGACGGUACUUGAGGAAUCGGCAUCGGCUAACUCCGUGCCAGCAGCCGCGGUAAUACGGAGGAUGCAAGCGUUAUCCAGACUGAUUGGGCGUAAAGCGUCUGCAGGUGGCUAUGCAAGUCUGCUGUUAAAGAGUGGAGCUCAACUCCAUAAGGGCAGUGGAAACUGCGUAACUAGAGUACGUUCGGGGGAGAGGGAAUUCCUGGUGUAGCGGUGAAAUGCGUAGAUAUCAGGAAGAACACCGGUGGCGAAAGCGCUCUACUAGGCCGUAACUGACGCUGAGAGACGAAAGCUAAGGGAGCGAAUGGGAUUAGAUACCCCUGUAGUCC